AUUGAACGCUGGCGGCAGGCCUAACACAUGCAAGUCGAGCGAGCGGCGGACGGGUGAGUAAUGUCUGGGAAACUGCCUGAUGGAGGGGGAUAACUACUGGAAACGGUAGCUAAUACCGCAUACCAUCAGAUGUUCCCAGAGGGGAUAAGCUGGUGGGUGGGGUAACGGCUCACCUCGGCGACGAUCCCUAGCUGGUCUGAGAGGAUGACCAGCCACAUUGGAACUGAGACACGGUCCAGACUCCUACGGGAGGCAGCAGUGGGGAAUCUUGCACAAUGGGCGCAAGCCUGAUGCAGCCAUGCCGCGUGAAUGAAGAAGGCCUUCGGGUUGUAAAGUACUUUCAGCGGGGAGGCGUUACCCGCAGAAGAAGCACCGGCUAACUCCGUGCCAGCAGCCGCGGUAAUAC
rnacentral:rRNA from 1 species